rnacentral:rRNA from 1 species
AGUUUGAUCCUGGCUCAGAUUGAACGCUGGCGGCAGGCCUAACACAUGCAAGUCGAACGGUAACAGGAAGAGCUUGCUCUUGCUGACGAGUGGCGGACGGGUGAGUAAUGUCUGGGAAACUGCCUGAUGGAGGGGGAUAACUACUGGAAACGGUAGCUAAUACCGCAUAACGUCGCAAGACCAAAGAGGGGGACCUUCGGGCCUCUUGCCAUCGGAUGUGCCCAGAUGGGAUUAGCUAGUAGGUGGGGUAACGGCUCACCUAGGCGACGAUCCCUAGCUGGUCUGAGAGGAUGACCAGCCACACUGGAACUGAGACACGGUCCAGACUCCUACGGGAGGCAGCAGUGGGGAAUAUUGCACAAUGGGCGCAAGCCUGAUGCAGCCAUGCCGCGUGUAUGAAGAAGGCCUUCGGGUUGUAAAGUACUUUCAGCGGGGAGGAAGGGAGUAAAGUUAAUACCUUUGCUCAUUGACGUUACCCGCAGAAGAAGCACCGGCUAACUCCGUGCCAGCAGCCGCGGUAAUACAGAGGGUGCAAGCGUUAAUCGGAAUUACUGGGCGUAAAGCGCACGCAGGCGGUUUGUUAAGUCAGAUGUGAAAUCCCCGGGCUCAACCUGGGAACUGCAUCUGAUACUGGCAAGCUUGAGUCUCGUAGAGGGGGGUAGAAUUCCAGGUGUAGCGGUGAAAUGCGUAGAGAUCUGGAGGAAUACCGGUGGCGAAGGCGGCCCCCUGGACGAAGACUGACGCUCAGGUGCGAAAGCGUGGGGAGCAAACAGGAUUAGAUACCCUGGUAGUCC